GACUACAGGGGUAUCUAAUCCCGUUUGCUACCCUAGCUUUCGCGUCUGAGCGUCAGUAUCGGUCCAGAAAAUCGCUUUCGCCACUGGUGUUCCUCCGGAUAUCUACGCAUUUCACCACUACACCCGGAAUUCCAUUUUCCUCUACCAAACUCUAGUCAGGAAGUUUUGAACGACCUCUCCCAGUUAAGCCGGGAGCUUUCACAUCCAACUCUCCUAACCGCCUACACGCGCUUUACGCCCAGUAAAUCCGAAUAACGCUCGCAUCCUACGUGUUACCGCGGCUGCUGGCACGUAGUUAGCCGAUGCUUAUUCCAAGGGUACCGUCCUUCCUCUUUCCCUUGAAAAGAGUUUUACGACCCGAAGGCCUUCUUCACUCACGCGGCGUUGCUGCAUCAGGCUUUCGCCCAUUGUGCAAUAUUCCCUACUGCAGCCCCCCGUAGG
rnacentral:rRNA from 1 species